CUACGGGAGGCUGCAGUGGGGAAUAUUGCACAAUGGGCGCAAGCCUGAUGCAGCCAUGCCGCGUGUAUGAAGAAGGCCUUCGGGUUGUAAAGUACUUUCAGCGGGGAGGAAGGGAGUAAAGUUAAUACCUUCGCUCAUUGACGUUACCCGCAGAAGAAGCACCGGCUAACUCCGUGCCAGCAGCCGCGGUAAUACGGAGGGUGCAAGCGUUAAUCGGAAUUACUGGGCGUAAAGCGCACGCAGGCGGUUUGUUAAGUCAGAUGUGAAAUCCCCGGGCUCAACCUGGGAACUGCAUCUGAUACUGGCAAGCUUGAGUCUCGUAGAGGGGGGUGGAAUUCCAGGUGUAGCAGUGAAAUGCGUAGAGAUCUGGAGGAAUACCGGUGGCGAAGGCGGCCCCCUGGACGAAGACUGACGCUCAGGUGCGAAAGCGUGGGGAGCAAACAGGAUUAGAUACCCCGGUAGUC
rnacentral:rRNA from 1 species